rnacentral:rRNA from 1 species
GGAGUCUGGGCCGUGUCUCAGUCCCAAUGUGGCCGUUCACCCUCUCAGGCCGGCUAUGCAUCAUCGCCUUGGUGGGCCGUUACCUCACCAACAAGCUAAUGCACCGUAAGCCCAUCUACUUGUGUUUCUAACCUUUAAUAACAGGAGGAUGCCCUCCCGUUACCUAUCCGGUAUUAGCGCCCGUUUCCAGGUGUUAUCCCAGUCCUUGUAGGCAGGUUGCUUACGUAUUACUCACCCGUUCGCCACUAGUUCCGUCCAGCAAGCUGGACUUCCCUCGUACGACUUGCAUGUAUUAGGCACGCCGCCAGCGUUCAUC